UUAAGUUAAUAAGGGCGCACGGUGGAUGCCUUGGCACUAGGAGCCGACGAAGGACGUGACAAACGACGAUAUGCCUUGGGUAGCUGUAAGUAAGCGAUGAUCCAGGGAUUUCCGAAUGGGGGAACCCAACAGGUAAUACCUGUUACCCACAUCUGUUAAGGAUGUGAGGAGGAAGACGCAGUGAACUGAAACAUCUAAGUAGCUGCAGGAAGAGAAAGCAAAAGCGAUUGCCUUAGUAGCGGCGAGCGAAACGGCAGAAGGGCAAACCGAAGAGUUUACUCUUCGGGGUUGUAGGACUGCAAUGUGGACUCAAAGAUUAUAGAAGAAUGAUUUGGGAAGAUCAGCCAAAGAGAGUAAUAGCCUCGUAUUUAAAAUAGUCUUUGUACCUAGCAGUAUCCUGAGUACGGCGGGACACGUGAAAUCCCGUCGGAAUCUGGGAGGACCAUCUCCCAACCCUAAAUACUCCCUAGUGACCGAUAGUGAACCAGUACCGUGAGGGAAAGGUGAAAAGCACCCCGGGAGGGGAGUGAAAUAGAACCUGAAACCGUGUGCCUACAACAAGUUCGAGCCCGUUAAUGGGUGAGAGCGUGCCUUUUGUAGAAUGAACCGGCGAGUUACGUUAUGAUGCGAGGUUAAGUUGAAGAGACGGAGCCGUAGGGAAACCGAGUCUGAAUAGGGCGCCUUAGUAUCAUGACGUAGACCCGAAACCAUGUGACCUACCCAUGAGCAGGUUGAAGGUGCGGUAAGACGCACUGGAGGACCGAACCAGGGCACGUUGAAAAGUGCUUGGAUGACUUGUGGGUAGCGGAGAAAUUCCAAACGAACUUGGAGAUAGCUGGUUCUCUCCGAAAUAGCUUUAGGGCUAGCGUCGACAUUAGAGAUUCUUGGAGGUAGAGCACUGUUUGGGUGAGGGGUCCAUCCCGGAUUACCAAUCUCAGAUAAACUCCGAAUGCCAAUGAAUUAUGGUCGGCAGUCAGACUGCGAGUGCUAAGAUCCGUAGUCGAAAGGGAAACAGCCCAGACCACCAGCUAAGGUCCCAAAAUAAUUGUUAAGUGGAAAAGGAUGUGGGGUUGCACAGACAACUAGGAUGUUAGCUUAGAAGCAGCUAUUCAUUCAAAGAGUGCGUAAUAGCUCACUAGUCGAGUGACCCUGCGCCGAAAAUGUACCGGGGCUAAAACAAUUUACCGAAGCUGUGGAUACCUUUAUAGGUAUGGUAGGAGAGCGUUCUAUGUGUGAUGAAGGUAUACCGUGAGGAGUGCUGGAACGCAUAGAAGUGAGAAUGCCGGUAUGAGUAGCGAAAGACAGGUGAGAAUCCUGUCCACCGUAAGACUAAGGUUUCCAGGGGAAGGCUCGUCCGCCCUGGGUUAGUCGGGACCUAAGGAGAGACCGAAAGGUGUAUCCGAUGGACAACAGGUUGAUAUUCCUGUACUAGAGUAUGUAGUGAUGGAGGGACGCAGUAGGCUAACUAAAGCAGACGAUUGGAAGAGUCUGUCUAAGCAGUGAGGUGUGAAUUNNNNNNNNNNNNNNNNNNNNNNNNNNNNNNNNNNNNNNNNNNNNNNNNNNNNNNNNNNNNNNNNNNNNNAGUCAAAUGCUUAAUUCUAUAACAUUGAGCUGUGAUGGGGAGCGAAGUUUAGUAGCGAAGUUAGUGACGUCACACUGCCAAGAAAAGCUUCUAGCGUUUAAACAUACUCUACCCGUACCGCAAACCGACACAGGUAGUCGAGGCGAGUAGCCUCAGGUGAGCGAGAGAACUCUCGUUAAGGAACUCGGCAAAAUGACCCCGUAACUUCGGGAGAAGGGGUGCUGACUUAAAGUCAGCCGCAGUGAAUAGGCCCAAGCAACUGUUUAUCAAAAACACAGCUCUCUGCUAAAUCGUAAGAUGAUGUAUAGGGGGUGACGCCUGCCCGGUGCUGGAAGGUUAAGAGGAGUGCUUAGCGUAAGCGAAGGUAUGAAUUGAAGCCCCAGUAAACGGCGGCCGUAACUAUAACGGUCCUAAGGUAGCGAAAUUCCUUGUCGGGUAAGUUCCGACCCGCACGAAAGGCGUAAUGAUUUGGGCACUGUCUCAACGAGAGACUCGGUGAAAUUUUAGUACCUGUGAAGAUGCAGGUUACCCGCGACAGGACGGAAAGACCCCAUGGAGCUUUACUGCAGUUUGAUAUUGAGUGUCUGUACCACAUGUACAGGAUAGGUAGGAGUCUAAGAGAUCGGGACGCCAGUUUCGAAGGAGACGCUGUUGGGAUACUACCCUUGUGUUAUGGCCACUCUAACCCAGAUAGGUGAUCCCUAUCGGAGACAGUGUCUGACGGGCAGUUUGACUGGGGCGGUCGCCUCCUAAAAGGUAACGGAGGCGCCCAAAGGUUCCCUCAGAAUGGUUGGAAAUCAUUCGCAGAGUGUAAAGGUAUAAGGGAGCUUGACUGCGAGAGCUACAACUCGAGCAGGGACGAAAGUCGGGCUUAGUGAUCCGGUGGUUCCGUAUGGAAGGGCCAUCGCUCAACGGAUAAAAGCUACCCUGGGGAUAACAGGCUUAUCUCCCCCAAGAGUUCACAUCGACGGGGAGGUUUGGCACCUCGAUGUCGGCUCGUCGCAUCCUGGGGCUGUAGUCGGUCCCAAGGGUUGGGCUGUUCGCCCAUUAAAGCGGCACGCGAGCUGGGUUCAGAACGUCGUGAGACAGUUCGGUCCCUAUCCGUCGCGGGCGUAGGAAAUUUGAGAGGAUCUGCUCCUAGUACGAGAGGACCAGAGUGGACUUACCGCUGGUGUACCAGUUGUCUUGCCAAAGGCAUCGCUGGGUAGCUAUGUAGGGAAGGGAUAAACGCUGAAAGCAUCUAAGUGUGAAACCCACCUCAAGAUGAGAUUUCCCAUGAUUAUAUAUCAGUAAGAGCCCUGAGAGAUGAUCAGGUAGAUAGGUUAGAAGUGGAAGUGUGGCGACACAUGUAGCGGACUAAUACUAAUAGCUCGAGGACUUAUCCAA
rnacentral:rRNA from 1 species